CCCCGCCAUCACCCUCUCUUUUCUCUCUCAAACGCUCUUUACCUAAAUUCUAAUCCUCAGACGCUGUCACCGCCUUAGCCCUCCGUCCUAUAAUGUUUCUUUGUUGUCUUAAGCCUAUUCUAGCCUCCUUCUUGCUAUGGUUCAUCAGUUUCGUAAGAUCCUUUAGAAGAUCUCAAGGGACCUAGACGGUCUGGUUUGCACAUUUGAUUUCUUUGUAUGUUUUAAGUUGUUCGCUUGAUCAUGAGUAAAAAGCCUUUCUUAUUUUGCUAUGAAUCUAUGGUUUUCUCGGCCUGUGUUCUCGUCUCUGUUAUACAUUCUACAUGACCCUAAUUUAUUAUCUCUGAUUUUCUCAGGUAUGUACAGAUCUGAGAUGAAUCUAACAUAUUUCAUAUGUUUUCCUUAAAAGUUUUCAGGUUUUCAACUGAUUUUUUUAUUUUUUUGUAAACCAUGGUUUACAAUAAGAUAUCUUCUCAAAGGGUUUAAUGCUUAAUCAUUUGUUCUUAUGUGUUCUCGACUACUUUAGUAUAACGCUGCUUAAGCCUUAGUCGAUUUAUGUGAAAACCCUAAUUUUCUUAUGUUUUGCUUUGGUUCUGAGUAUUCCCAUGUUACGCAUUACAUUACUUCAUUCUCUAUUUUGACUUACAUGUUUUUCCUUAGUCAGAUUCAUUGCUUUGUGACUUUUACCCUAAUUAAAUCCAAUUAGGGUUUCAGAAUUAUUUUCUGUCUAAUUUCUCUAUGUUUACAGAAUUUUACUUAGCAUAUCUUCUAUUUCUGGAAGUUGGUAACUUUUCAGAAAUUAAUAUCACUUUGAAAUUCUAAUUGACUAAUUCUCGAUUAUUUCCUUGUUUAUGACCUUAACUACUCUUCUUACCUUAUUUUUAUUGCCUAUUAUAUUUAUUGAUCCAUUAUGUGAUUAUCUCCUUAAUUAGACUCCUAAUUUCACUCUUUGCUCAAGUCUGAUUUGAACUUCUUUCCUUAAAUAUUUCUUGUCCUUAUCAUUGGUUAAUUACCUUUAAUUAAGGGAAGACUAUAUUGAUUUUCUUCAUGUAAUUGAUUCUGUGAUCCUCCCUUGAUUGACUGAAGUUGGUACUGUUACCUUAUUUGCACUACCUUUGAACUACUAUAUAAACUCCUCUGUUUUACUUCUUAAGGGAUGAGCGCAAGUUCAAAGAACACACACUCACACUCAAACUCUUUUUUCAUUCUCUACUACGUAUGGUACUCUUGAUCUAGCUGGUUUAAAGCCAAGGCUAGAUAUUGGAACUACACCUACUUUAUAUUCUACACUCUUUUUUUCAACUAGUAUGUCUCUUAUUAAAUUUUGAACCCAAACAUUAUGUGUUUCAUUCCUGCACUGACUAUGAAUUCAACCUGUCUUCCUGUUUACUUUAUUGCUUAGCAUGUUUGAAUUCUAUGAUGUUCAAUGUAUAACUAGUAUUCCAACACUUGACCUGGUUAUCUGAUACUUGACCAGCCUGUUUGUCGAUUUCUGCUUGAUCCCUUAAUUAUGUAAUCAUGUUGGUUACUUAGUCCAUAUGAUUGACUAUAGUUGUGUGCCUGAUUUUGCCAGUGCUUCUUUGAUUUCAACAUGGCUAUAUUACCUACCACCAGGACUAACUUGUUAAUUCGAUAUGCUCCUAAGUGUUCUAUGGAUUUUUCUAUCUAUAUGUCUCCUUGAUCCCUGUCAUGUGUUCUCUUAAUAUGAAUCCUAUGUGUCUCCAAUCCCUUUAUCCGUGUGUGAGAUCUGUUUAUUUCUGACUCUGGGUGUUUUAUGACCAAUUGAUCGUUUGUUGUUUGUAAAAGUGUUUUGGUACUCUUCUGAAACUGUUUUUCACUACCAAACUAGUUUCUAUUUCAGAAAAAAAAAUUCACUCCUAGAGUCGUCUCUAUAAUGUUUCCACUAAAUCUUUCAAACAAUAUCAAUUGCUCUCACUUUACUCUUAGAUCAUUAGUUUCUGCCCCUCAAAUGUGUGUGCAGGCUUGGAAUCCCUUGAAAUUUUUUUGAACUUUGGCACACUGGGCUGCCCUUCCACACUGCAAAUAACUAGUCCCUAUUUUAAGAAAGGUCUUGGUGUGAGCACUGGCUGGGAUCCUUGAGGUUCUUAGGGAACUCUGACACACUUGGACACUUAUUGGACAUGAUAUGCUUGGCACUUGUGACUACAUAGAAGGCCUGGUACUCAAAGGUUUACAUUGGGCCUGCUUCAGGCUCCCUAUAGGAUAAGUUCACAUUUCAUUUAUGUAAUUUACAAUACUGGUCUGUAAUAAUCCUUUAUAAACAGAUAUUGGGGUAACUAGUAAAAAAAUGAGGUUAGAUAUAUGAUUCAGUGGGUUAAACUAGGUAGAAACCAUGUUUUAGAUUUUAUAUUAUGUUAAGUUGAUGUAAAAAUUAUGUUCUAGGUUUGUAUGAUGCAUCAUAUAUCAUCAUUUAGCAUUGCUAUGCAUAUUCGCAUUAUACCAUGCUAAAUUCGUGUAUUAGAUAACCUAUCUUAGGACAAUCAUGUUUACUACUUCUGCAUAUUACAUGUUAUAGUUCAUCACUUCACUUUUGAUUCUUCAUAAGUCACUAUCACAUAGAAAUUCUGCUAUUAAGUUAAUAAUACUACUUAAUAAAAUGAACUUCUUUAUGUGCAAAAGCAAUCCUGCCUCAGGACCCUAUUUACAUCCGCUUUAUACCAUGUCUAUAUCGUCAAACAACAUUCUAUUAAAGGGAUUAAAAAAGCCCCAACACAUAGAUAUCACGUUCUACUAUCAACAUGCCUAAAAUCAGUUAUGGUCACUUAGAUCAGCAUGCCUAUAGGACAAAAUAACUUCAAGUUGUUUAAUUAAUUCCCCAGAUUAUGUUUGCAUACAGACACACGCCUGUUGAUACUCAAUUUUCUCUAUAUAUUUUAAUCCACAAAAUACAUUUAAAAUAGCAUGUACAUGCCCAGGAGUUUUUGAUUUUUUUUAAAGAUUUUCAAAAUUUAUUUAUUGCCUGUUGUAGCAGUACGAAGUCCAAAUUUAUUCCCAAGAUUAUCAUUUUUGUGAGUAAUUUAUUUUUAUUCCCAUAUUUACGCUAAAAUAUAAUUAAGAUAAUUUUCAUAUA
rnacentral:lncRNA from 1 species